UACAGAGGUCCCGAGCGUUGUUCGGAUUCAUUGGGCGUAAAGGGUGCGUAGGCGGCGGGGCAAGUCUGAUGUGAAAUCCUGAGGCUCAACCUUGGAACUGCAUUGGAUACUGCCUUGCUAGAGAACUGGAGAGGAGACUGGAAUUUACGGUGUAGCAGUGAAAUGCGUAGAUAUCGAGAGGAACACCAGAGGCGAAGACGGGUUGCUGGGCCGACACUGACGCUGACAGCGCGAAAGCCAGGGGAGCAAACGGG
rnacentral:rRNA from 1 species